ACUUAGUCUUGCUCCAGAGCUCAAACAGCUCUGUCUUCCUCUCUCUGGGAGGGGAGGAGAGGGCCUGCCCAAGUCACGCAGCUCAUAUUCCCUGAUCACUCUUAAUCCAUGUACACAACACUGCCAGUUACAGCCUGACGGUUAAUGAGAGUCUGUCCUGCUUGGAGAGUGCAGGAGUUUAUAGCUGAUUGAUAUCUCUGGGCAAGCACAUUUCUUUCCAAAGUGUCAAGUCAAGGAGAAGAACUAGGGACAGGGCUCCAAGUUCAGAGUUGCCUGUGGACCAGACCUG
rnacentral:lncRNA from 1 species